UCCCUUUCCCUUCUUUAAAAUCUCUUUGGGAUAUAAGCCUGGUAGUAACACUGCUAGAUCAAAGGGUAUGCACAAUAUGAUAACUUUUUGAGCAUAGUUCCAAAUUGCUCUCCAGAAUGGUUGGAUUUGUUCACAAUUCCACCAACAAUGUAUCAGUGUCCCCAUUUUUCCAUAUCCUUCCAACAUUCUAUCAUGCAAUUCUUGUGGAAAACAAAGUAUAGAAUGAUUAGGUAAAUUCUGAUAUAACUCAAGAGUCAGAUUGCAAGAAUAGUUACUAUGUCAACAUGCCUUGGACAGUAAAUGAUAGAUUUAUCAAAUUUAUAUAUUGAACACAAAAGUGAAAGGACUAGUUAAUAUGUUAAAUUACAACCAGGAUUCUAAGAGAUAUUGACAGGUUAAAAUGUUGUGCCAAAUCUGAUGAAAUUAAUUUUAACAUGUCUGUAAAGUUUUAUACUUGGAUUCAAAAAUUAACUCUAUGAGCACAAGAUUAUAGAAGUAUGUCUGAAAAACCAUCUGAGGGUUCUACUGGAUUGAAAGCUCAACAUCAGUUAACAAGAUGAUAUGGCACCAAAGAAAAAUCUAUGAUUUUUAUUGAGAGGCAGAGCAUUCAUAAUAGAGAGGUGAUAUAAUUGCUGAAUUUUGCCGUAAUUAGACAAUAUCUGGAGUAUUGUGUUAAUUUUAAGUACCACAUUUUAUGAAAGACAAAUAUUUCCUAGAUGACAAUACUUUGACAAUAUUUUGUUUGUAAAUCAUCAUAGAUAAUAUGCUUACCCACAAUUUUUAUUUCUCAGAGAUUUUAGAAUUCUGGGAUUAUCAAACAUAUAAUAUUGCUAGGACAAUAUUUGUGUUAAGAAUAUGGAUUUUUACAUUUGGAGGUAAGCUAAAUAAUUCCACAAAUACAAUCAAGUUCACUAUUUUCCUCCAAUUCAUUUCAGACUCCAACCCAUGGUCUAUUGGCCAUGCAUGUGCAUGGAUGAAUGUGUGUGUAUGGAUUACCUAGAGAACUUGAUGUUAUAGCCUAGGCAACAAGAAUCUUUCAUCCUUUUUUUUUUUUUUUCUUGUGUGAAUUGUCAGGCCUAUUCUACUUUAACAGCAAGGGAUCUCACUGAAAAAAUCCUAUAAUAUUCUGAAGCUCAAGAUGGUAUCAUGACAAAAGAGGGAGCACAUUUCAAGCAUGGGAAUAGUCAGAACAAAAGCACAGAAAUAGGAGCAUUGUUUAUGGAGAAUACCAAGUAGAUCAGCGUAGGUAAAUUGUAGAAUGUAUGAAGGGAAAUAAGUGAAAACUGGAAAAAUAGGAAGGGGUUGGCUUGGGAACAAUUUUAAAUGCCAGAGGAGCUUGAUUCUAGAGGUAAUAGGGAGUUAUAUAAUCAAACUUGUCCUUUUGGAAAAUUAUUUGGUUAUGUUGAGAUUGGACUGGAGUACAAUUUCUCUGGCUAUUCUCUAUGCCACUACUCUUGUCUCUCUGCUACUCCAACUAUUCCCUGGAUUCUUUUGAAGUCCCAACUUAAAUCCCACUUUGUACAGUAAAUCUUCCCCAACCAUUCAAUCUGGUGCCUUCUCUUUGUUAUUUCCUGUUUGUCCUGUGUGUAGCUAGUUUUUGCUCUGUGUAUAUUAAUUUGCAUGUUGUUUUUUCCAUUUGAUUUCAAGUUCUUUGAGGAUAUUUUUGUAUUUCCAUCAAUGUGCACAGUGCCUGGUACAUGCAGUUGCUUACUGUUUAUUUUGGGGGGAUGAAGUGAGGGAGGAGACUUAAGUUAAAGAAAAUUAUUUGAAAGUUAUGGAAAUAUCCCAGACAAGAGAUAAAAGCCUAGACUAGAUUGGUGGUUCUGAGUAGAAAGUGGGAUGUGUUUGAGAGAAGUGCAAGUAGAAAGGACACGAUUCGACAAUUGACUGAAUAAAUGGGGUAAGAAAUAGGAGUUAAGAACAAUAUGAGGAGCUGAGGUUGCUAAUUUGGGUGACUGAAAAAAAUCCUGGUGCUCUCAAAAGUAAUAGGGGAAUUCAGAAAAAUGGAAGGUUUUGGGGGAAAGUGAAUAUAUAUUUUAGACAUGGUGAGUUUGAGAUGUCUAAGGGACAUAAGAUUAUGAAUGAAUGGUUUGGGAUUAGAGUUUAGGAGAGAGACUAGAGUUGGAUAUAAAUAGAUCUGGGAAUUACCUACAUAGAGAUAACUGAAACUAGAAGCAGCUGAUAUUACCAAAUAAGAUAGUAUGGGGGCAAAUGCAGUCUUAGAGCAUAUUAAAAAAAAAUGUGUAGAGGGCCACAGAUAGUGGGGGAACGCUGGGUAAAAACCCUUCAGCCCAGAGAGAACCUGCUGACAAUGUCUAGUUUGGCUCUCUACCUCCCUUUGGUGUUCUCAACCUUCUUGAGAAGUCAAGGAAGGUGUGACCACCUGUGUUCUACUUGAAGCAAGGGAUACUUACAGUAAAGAGAGGUAUUUACAUAUCAAUAGCAGGGUCCUUAUAGUUAGCACUUGCACAGUGUGCUAUGGUUAUGUAAUACUACUAUAGUUAGCACUUGCUCAGUGUGAUGUGAUGAUAUAAUGGUCUCUAGUUGGCACAUAGUGUGCUGUAAUAAUGUAAUCAUACCAAGGUAUUUAAGGGCUGGGAGGACUUGAAAUAAGGAUACUCCAUCUUUGACCAUCCUCCUGAGUCUCCUGCCUUCAUCACUCCUCCACUAAAACCAAGGCUGGUCCCAAGAUUCUCCAGAGAGCUAGUCUGGACGGUAUAUUUUGGCACCCCAGUUUGGGCACUCUAGAAAGCACACUACAUUUUGGUGCUCGAAGAGGGACAUCCAGAAGGACACUACAAUAAUGAACAUGAAAAUGAAUAUCCAGUUUUAAGCUAAUUUAAAAUAGUUCCUUCUACCCUCCAAGCUUGUAGUACUCCUGUUACCCUGCUUUUAUUAUGUAUACAUUUGGCAUAUAUUCCUAUUUGUGCAGGUUGUUCGUGCAAUUCUUCCCUGCUCUCAACCUCCCUCUUCCCCACACCCAAUGUAAGAUUGAAAAUCUGGACUAGGAGGAUACAAUGUGUACACAAAAAAGUAAAUAUGUAGAUACAAAAUAAAUACAAAAUAAUUUCCAGAGAACAUUAGCUACUGUGGAAUUUAGAAAACAUUUUUUUUUUUUAGGCGAUAGUAUUUGAGAUGCUUUUAGAGAAGGCAAUUAGAGAGCCCCAAAAAAGUGUUGUGGAGGAAAAGCCUUCCAGGCAUGGGAAAUAAGACUGUGCAUGUAUAGGAAUAAGUGGAAGAUUUGGACUAGGACAUGAAAUUUGAAUGAUGUGUAUAAUACCUCUACAAAGAGGAGUUUGAGGCAGAUUGUAGAAGGGUUCUAAAUAUAAUAUAGAGGAAUUUUUAUUUUUAUACUAGAGGCAAUAAGAAACCACUGAAACUUUUUAAAAAGGGAGGUAAUAUGGUCAAAACUAUGUGAUAGGAAUAUCAAUAUAGUAUUUUUAUAGAGGGCAGACUGGAGAGGGGAGAAGCUGAAUGCAGGAAGACUAGUCAGAACAAUAUUGCAGGAUAAGUCAAUAAUGAUUGAGGGAUAAAGUUAGAAUGGUUGUGGUACUGAUAGAGGGGAAAGAACAGAUGUGAAGAUGCUGUGGAAAUACAAUCAAUAAAACAAGGCCAGGAUCUAAUAUGGUUAGGUUAGUGCCAGGAGAGUGACUAUGUCUCCUAGGUUCUAGAAUUUGAGUGACUAAGUUAAUGGUAAUAUCCUAAACAGAAAAUAAAGAGGGAGAGUUAGGACGAAGAGAGAGUUUAAGGGAAAAGAUUACUUUAGUUUUGGACAUGAGAUUUGAGAUUUGAAAACACCUAUUGGACAGCUAGAAAUAUCCAGCAGACUGCUGAAGAUACUGGAAUGGAAUUCAGAAAAUAUAUGAAAGUUGAGUAUGAAAAUUUUGGAGUCAUCCAUCAAGAAGUGAUGAACCCAGGAAAAGUAACUAGAUCAACUAGAAAUAUAUAUAAGAGAAUAAAAUUCAGGACAUCUCCUGUAACACACCCAUGAAUAGAAUGAGAUAUUGAUGGCAAUCCAGGCAAAAAGAAACAUUAAUCAUAAAGAUAAAAGAAAAAUGACAAAGUAGUACCACAAAAACCCAGGGAGGAGAGACUAUCCAGAAGGGAAGAAUCAAGAGUGAAAAAUACUAUAGAGAGAAUAAGAAAGAUGAAGACUCCAUACAGUUAUUGGAUUUACUCAUAAAGAAGUAUUUAGCUCCAUAUAUUUAUUUUAUAAAUAUUUAUUCUACAUAUAUUUAUAAAUAUAUAUAUAUAUAUAUAUAAUCUUCCUGAUAGAAAACUCAUUAUAAGCUUAUUGAGAGUAGGAUUAUUUUAUUCCUUGUAUGUCUGUGCCCAGCUUAGCACAGUGACAUAUAAAAAUAUAGACAUGCCUAAUGUUUCUUGUUUGAUGGAAGUGAGCUAGCAAGGGGUAAAGAAGUUGGAGAUGAAAAACUGUCAGUGAUUAUUCAAACUUUCUCUUGAAGUUUGUCUGAUAAAACAAUUGAGAUAAAGGAUAAAAGCUUGAGAAGAUGGCAAGAUCAAGGGAAGGUUUUUAAACAUGUUUGUAGCCAAUAAAGGAGCCAAUGAAUAAGCAGAUUGAAAAUUAAGUAUAGAGAGGGAAUGAUUAAAGGAUAAGCUUCCAAGAGAGAUAGGAAGAAAUAGGAUUGAGGGCAAAAGUAGUUUCUAUUACUCUACUCAAUCAACUUCAAAACUCUUCAUUGUUCUAAUAUAAAUUCCUAUUUUUAAAAGCCCUUCAUUACCUGCCUUCAAUGUAUAUUUCCAGUACCAUUAUACAUCACUCCCCUUUCCAUAUUCUAUGUCCAGCUAAACUGAUCUCCUCCCUCUUCAAUAUUGCAUCUGUUUCCCUUCUUCACCUCAAUGCCUUUACACAAGCUGUGCUUUGUGUAUAUAAUGCACUCCCUCUUCCUUUCUGCUUUAGAGAAUCUUCUUUCAAAAAGCUGAUGACAUUUUCUACCCAAAAUUUUUCUUUAUCUCUCAACUUCUAACGUCAUAGGGAAGUAUUCUAUCUCACACAUACACAUACACAUACAUAUACAUAUCGUAGUGAGGGGUAAGGAUAAUAGUAUGUUUGUAUAGGUAUACAUGUUGACUAUGAUAGAAUGUAAGUCUUUUGAAAUCAGUUUCAAAAUCUUAGCCAUCAGUGCCUGUAACAGUAUCUGGCAUAUAGUAAACUCUUAAUGAAUGUUUUAUUAUUGAUUCGAAUACAGGAUAAUACUGAGGUGUCCUGAAGAGUAGUACUUGGGAAAAACUCAAGAUGUGCAGCUUCACCUUCUCAGUUAAGUAUGAAGUGAUUUCCUCUGCUAAGGAGGAAGUGGGGAAAGGAUAGUUUGCAGAGUAGAGAUUUGAAACAGAUGUUAUAAAUGAAAUAGAAAUUCAGUUAGAAAAGAGUAAAGAGAUUAGUAUAAUAUGACAGCAAUCAUGUUAAGAUGAUAAAUACAAAUCUGAAGUGGUCCCAGGUAGCAAGAUUGCUCCAGGAUGUUUCGCAAGCAAAACCUGAAUGGAAUUAGAGAAAACUUUGGUGAGAAUAAUGAAGGGUUGAGUUUUGGAAAGGAAUGAGAAAAUAGGAAGAGAACAAAAGGCUGAAAUAUAGAGGACAUUAUAAAAUUGAACUUAAAUCUAAGGGCACAGAGGAAAACAGGUCCCAGGUAGUAAGACUGGUGAAAUUGAAGGCUAGUUUUGGGAAGGAUAAGGAGUAAGAAGAGAUGAAAGGAUAGAAUCAGAUAAUAGACCUUCAAAGUUAUGGACAUAUAACUAAGCAACUCUAUGUGUGGCUGUGUAGUUUACUUAGGUAAGGAUACAUUUACAAAUAUAACUAACCAACUCUAUGUGUGGCUGUGUAGUUUACUUAUGUAAGGAUACAUUUACAAAUAUAACUAACCAACUCUAUGUGUGGCUGUGUAGUUUACUUAUGUAAGGUGCAGCUCAUUGGAGUCGAGGUUGAAGAAUCAAAGUGUUUAAAAAAAUUAGAGGUCUGCAACAAAUAAAUUUAGGCCCCAAAUAUUAAGUGCGAAUUUUGUAGCAUAAAGUGCAAGUAGUGAAUUCCAGGAGAACGGACGCCGGUGAAGUAAAGUAAGAGAGCUGACAGAGUGAGAAUAUAUACAGUAUCAGCAUAGGGUUAUAUAUAUCCAAAUAGUGCAAAUUUCAUAAAUGUCCGAGGGACGCCCAGAAAGUUUGCAAGCUUCGAGGCUUCAUGAAUUAAAAAGCAAUUCAUAAUCUGAAUCCAAACCCGCAGGAUAAGGAUCCCUCGAGAUAGACUUUAUCCUUAUUCCUAGCAUGGUACAAGUAACCCCGGCUCAGCUACAGACCACAGAUGAUCUUCAGAGCUGGACUUUGUCAUAAUCUUUUAUUGCAUCGGUGGUGGUUGGUUGCAAAGGCAGCACUUUCCACUUCUUCAGGCGGCCUCUCUCCGAGGUUCGGGCAGAGGCUGGAUGACCUCUGAUCUGAAGGCGACUUUGGAGUCCCCGCCGCGGGACCAGGGCUGAGGCAAGGUGACCUCGAGAUUGCGCCGUCUCACCAGGAGCUGCGGGCAUUUUUUGGUAUCUAGUAAAUACCUGAGCGAAGGUGAGUCCGGAGUUCCAAGUUUUCUCCUUUAUGACUCAAGGAAUAAAAAGUCCUGCAAGGAUUGCGUAGGGGAAGGGAGCUGCCAGCACUUGUCCAGACUCCGAGGGCGGGGGAGGCGGGGGAGGCGGGGGAGGGGAGGGGAGGCGGGGCUUUACUCUAGGCCCCAGUCCCGGGACUCAGGGAGCAAAGGCCCCACCCGAGACCGCCUGACCUUCCCCUCCCAGCAGGCGUUAUGCAAAUGACCUCCCCCAGUGAGUCUCUAGUACCUUUCCCUCCCUUUCGUCCCGCCCACUGCGCACGCGUCCUCCCAUCCCUCUUCACACCCCGCCCCCUUCUGCCCCCUCUCGGCUGCGCUCCGCCCCACUCCGCCCCCGCUUUGUGGCCCCCAGGAGCUGCCGCCGUCGCCGGAGACCGGCGCUUGAGGGUGGGGAGAAGACGGGGGGAGGGGGGUGACGCUGGCCGGUGAGGCUCCUUCCCGACACGGCGGCGAUGUCCGCGAGCCCGGAGCGUGCCGCGGCGGCAGCGGCGGGGCCUCAUGCGCAGCGCGGCACCCUGGCCUUCGGCCUCCCUCCGGCUCCCGUAGAGCGGGCCGGUGGCAAGAGCAGUAGCUGCCGAGGCCGUGGAGUCUCUGGCUUGUCUUCCUCCUUUUCUUCCUCCUUCCCCUUGGCCGUCGGGUACUGAGCCGGGGGAGGGGAGGCGGCCUGAGUGGCCGGGGCGGGGGCUGCUGCUUUGAGGAUGGGAAUUCUCUUCACCAGGAUAUGGAGACUGUUCAAUCACCAGGAGCACAAAGUUAUCAUUGUUGGUCUGGAUAAUGCAGGGAAAACCACCAUUCUUUACCAAUUGAUCUAAGGAAAGCUGGAUUGCUGAUUUUUGCUAACAAACAAGAUGUUAAAGAAUGCAUGACUGUAGCUGAAAUUUCCCAGUUUUUGAAGUUAACUUCAAUUAAAGAUCACCAGUGGCAUAUCCAGGCAUGCUGUGCUCUCACUGGUGAGGGAUUGUGCCAAGGACUUGAAUGGAUGAUGUCACGACUUAAGAUUAGAUGAUCUCUACUGACCUCUGUUUGUAGACUUUGCAUAAAUGAAGUGCUGGACUAUAAUUAACCUGAAAGCUGCAAAAAUUAAUGGGUUAGAUAUAUUUAUAAUAAACUGACAAAACUUUUUCUAUAAGAAACAAAUUAAGACCACUUCUUUGAAAAGAAAGAUGGAGUCCCACGUUCCAGUUUGCUUUCAUAUAAAUUUCUUCUGAAGUUAGGUCUUAAAGCUGUGAUUGACAUUUCUGUCAUGAUGAAUCCUCUCAGGACAUUGUGUAGUCUGUGGGCGGUGAUUAAGGCCAGUUCCAAUGGACUUGUGAUGGAGAGAGCCAUCUGCACCCAGAGAGAGGACUUUGGGGACUGAAUAUGGAUCACAAAAGAGUAUUUUCACUUUUUUUUUAAUGUUUGCUUUUUAUUUUUUCUCAUUUUUUUGAUCUAAUUUUUCUUGUGCAACAUGAUAAUUGUGGAAAUACAUAUGGAAGAAUUACACAUUUAACAUAUUGGAUUACUUGUCUAAGGAAAGGAGUAGGAAGAAAAAAUUGAAAUACAAAGUUUUGGAAGAGUGAAUGUUGAAAAUUUAUGCAUAUUUUUGAAAGUAAAAAGCUUUUAAAAAUAAAAAAGUAAAAAAAAAAUGUUGCUGUUACUGCUUCUGUUGACUGGAGUCAGGAAGACUCAUCUUUUUGAGUUCAAAUCUGGCCUCAGACACUUAUUAUAGACUGAGCUGUUUGCCUUAGUUUCUCAUCUGUACAGUGAUCUGAAGGAAGAUAUGGCAAGCCAUUCCAAUAGCUUUGCCAAGAAACUAUAAAAAAAGAGGUCACAAAAAAUUGGAUGUGACUGAAAAUGACUAAACUAUAAUAACAACAGCCGUGCCUGGCACAUAGGAAAUCUUAUAUAAAUGUUAGCUAUAUUAUCAUUAUUACUAGGCUUUGGAUGUUUGAUUAUUUUUAUAUGUAUAUUCCUAUCUCCAACAUGUUCCAGUAUAUUUGGGAGUUAUGUUCCUGCAAACUCUGUGCAUUAAGGGAUUCCAAGGUGAACUUAAGGUCUGGUGUUUUUGUACCUUCCUUUUGAAAGUGUGAAACUUGUUAAAAUCUGCCUUUCCUUAAAAGUGAGAAGAAACAGAACUUUCUCUGCUGUUUUUAAAGAUUAGCCCUAAUCAGUAAUAAGUGCUCCAUAUUUUGUUAAGUACUGAAAAUACAAAAAGAGGUAAAUGACAAUUCCUGCCCUCGAGGAGCUUACAAUUUAAUGAAAAAGCAACAUAGGAAACCAUUAACGGAGAGAAGGCACUGGAAUUUUAUGAGGCUUCCUACAGAAACUGGGAUUUUAUUUGAGACUUAAAGGAAUUCAGGGAGAUCAAUAGAGCAGAGGAGGAAGAACAUUCUAGGUUUAAGAGAGAUCCAGAGAAAAUGAAUGUAAUUAAGAAAUGGAGAAAUGGAGUGUCUUGCUUGUGGAACCCAGUGUCAUUAGGUUGAAAAGUACAUGUUGGGGAGUAAGGUGUAUGAAGAAUGAAAAGGUAGGAGAGGGGCUAAAUCAUAGAGGACUUUUAAUCCAAACUAGAAAUUUUGUAUUUGACCCUGCAGUCAAUAGGAAAAAUAGGACUUCAUUGAGUAGAAUGGUGAUAUGAUAGGACCUGUAUAUUAGGAAAAUUCACAAUAGAGACUUACUAGACAAUGGAUUGGAAUGGGGAGGAUUUGAGACAAGAGAAACCACCUGCAGCCUAUUAUGAUAGUGUACACUUUAAUUAAUAGGGACCUGCACUAAAAUGGUGGCAAUGUCACUACAGAGAGAAAGGGGUAUAUAAAAUCAGUGUUGCACAGAUGAAAUCAAUAGGCCUUGGCAACAAAUUAGACAUCGGGGAGGAAGGGCAGGGGGAGAUAAUGGAGAAUUCAGGAUGACUCCCAAAUUUUGAGCCUGAGGAAGAUUUAUGAGGGAAAGAUAAUGUGUUUCUCUUUGGACAUCCAGAUUGAAGUAUCUGAAAAGCAGGUGUAGUUGGGAUUAAAGGUCAGCUGUGAGUUUGGGACAGGAUUGGGUAGAUUUAAAAAAAAAAAACAGCAUAGAGAUGUUGAUGGGAACUAUGGGAACUGAUGAGAUCACUAAGUGAAAUAGUAUAAACAGAGAAGAGAAGAGGAUAUUAUGAAGGAUGCCUAUAGUUAGAGGAUAUGACUAAUGCAGGAGUGAUAGUACUGAGAAAUAAGAAAGAAUAGCAUCAUAGGUCAAGAGGGGACUUCACAGGUCAUUUAAUCCAGGAUAAUCAAUUAUAACCUAAAUCCUGGAGGGUGAUUUGUCGAAUGUCACAAUGAAAAUGUUAGAAAUGAGAUUUGAAUCCAAGUCCUCUGACUCCUGAGUCAAUGCUCUUCCUGCUAUAAUGAACUGCCAGGUAGUAUCUCAUCAAGGUGGGUCAAUAUAGCAAGGGGGACCCCCUGUAUCUAUGGUCUCCCUUUUUAACUGUGUGAGUGAUUUUCUUUUCCCAUGAGAGUUUGAGGGUAGGGUGAUACAAUGCUGCUAAGCUAUUCAGUGAUAUCAGACAUAGAACAUUAAAGGGACUUUUGUAUGAUGAAUUUUGUCUCAAAAGAUUAGCCACGGCUUCAUCCUUGACAGGAUAUUCUAAGUUCUAAUCUUUUCUUAGGACAUCUUGCUGCAUGAGGUCUGAGGACACUGAAAACUGGCUACCAAGGAGAAGUAGCAGGUACUGUGGAUCUACUCCAAAGCUUAAUAUGGCACUAAUUUCAGGCAAUUAGGGAGAAAAAAUUGAUAUAUACAAAUGAAAAUUAAUGUUAAAGAAAUAGUACUAUAUUCUGACUAUGCAAUAAAGAAGUUGUUAAAAUUAAUUAGGGAAAGCUUCUAGGAAUCUAGCAAGGAAGGUCCCCUCCAUUAAAAAAAAAAAAGUAAGUAAAGGACUUGGAUUGAUGGACAAAAAAGAAAAAAAGGGCAUUCUAUUGCUGUCUUUGAAAUGAAACAGGCAUUUAAAAACCUGUGAUUUUGUUACAUUACAAACUGUUUAGACAAACCAUUUAAUCUCAUGCAGUUUCAUUAUCUGUAACUUCCAAUUUUUUAAACAAAAAAUUGUUUUAAAAAAAUUUGAAUCUAACAAAUACAAGCAUUUCAAUAUACAAUGGAGAUAAAAGAAGACUAUAUAUGAGUGAACUUCUGUUACAUAUAUAUAUAUUUUUCUUUUUUUUUUUUUUUUUUUGCUGAGGCAAUUGGGGUUAAGUGACUUGCCCAGGGUCACACAGCUAGAAAGUGUUAAAUGUCUGAGGUCAAAUUUGAACUCAGGUCCUCCUGAAUUCAGGGCUGGUGCUCUAUCCACUGCACCACAUAGUUGCCCUACAUAUGUAUUUUUAAAAGUGUAUAUUAAGGGGCAGCUAGAUGGCACUGACCCUGAAGUCAGGAGGACUUGAGUUCAUUUUUAAAAUUUAAAAAAAAAUAGCUUUUUAUUUUCAAAAUAUACACAAAGAUAGUUUUCAACUUUGGCCCUUAUAAAAUUUUGUCUUCUAAUAUUUUCUCUUUCCCCUAGACAGCAAGUAAUCCAAUAUAAGCCAAACAUGUACAAUUCUUCUAAAUAUAUUUCCAUAUUUAUCAUGUUGCCCAAGAGAAAUAAGAUCAAAAAGAAAAAAAAAAUUAAAAAGAAAAAAAGCAAGCAAACAACAAAAGAGGUGAAAAUACUAUGUUGUGAUCCACAUUCAGUUCCCAUAGUUCUCUUUCUAGAUGUAGAUUGAAUUCAAAUCCAGCCUCAGUCUUAACACUUAUUAGCUAUGGGACCCUGGGCAAGUCACUUAACCCCAAUUGCCUAGGGGAAAAAAAGUGUACAUUAAAUUUGAGAAGUAGCAUAAUAUAGUGAAUAGAAAGCUGGCCUUGAAAUCAGGAGAAUCUAAGUCUCUGUCUUACAUCUUUCUCCUUAUCCCCUCAGCACAAUCAAUUUAUUACUGAGACUAGCAGCAACGAAUAAGUUGGGCAAAUGACCUCUCUCAAUGACCAAAACCCUUGAGUGAGGGCUGACAGUGUCUUUAUAAGAUGACAGAGCAAAAUCUAUAGCACCAUAAAUGUGUCUUUUUUGUGAAUGACUAUUGAUGACAUAACCAGAAUUGAGAUAAUAACAUUUGGAUCUCCCCUUCUAAAUCCCUCUUUAAUCUGAGAUAUGUGAUUUAAAUCACAAGACAAAGGUUCUGAGAUGAUGGAACUUGCUCCAAUAGUUUAAAGUGAUGAAAUUUGACCUUUUUGGGUGAUAUGUGGGGCUAUAAUUGUUGUUAUGCACACAUAUCUGAUUCUUCCUGAUCCUUUUUGGGAUUUUCUUGGCCCAAAAUACUAAAAUAGUUUACUGUUUCCUUCUCUAGCUCAUUUUACAGAUGAGGGAACUGAGGCAAAUAGGAUUAAGUGUCUUGUCCAGGGUCAUACAGCUAGUAAGUGUCUGAUUUGAACAAAGGUCUUCUUAACUCCAGGACCUUCACUCUCUCCAUUAUACCUCCUAGCUGCUUCACUAUCAACUUAGAAAACCACAAAUAAACAUUUAUUACCUAUGUCCAAUUACAUUUUUAUUUUCUUAAUUCACAAUUUUAUUGUAGUUUGAUUUGGAGAUUUUCAGGAAUGUUGGGCCACAAAUGAUUUAUGUGACACCUCUGCUCUAGGCAACUCUUUAAGACUGUAUGUUACAGAGAAAGCAACAAUCUAUUCUCGGAGAGGAGGAGUUCUCUAUAGCAAUGAAACCACAGAUCCCAUCAUUAUGUCUAAUUUUAAAGGAUAUAGUAACAGAAAUACCUACUUGCCUGGGUCCUUUCUCUUUUCUGUAUUUAAAAAAUAUGUACUUUUCUGUAAGUCAUUUUUUUUUUAUCCUGUUCUUUUUGUUCAUAUCCCAAUUCCCUCUCUCCCUCUGUCCCAAAUAGGUGGCCUUCCCAUGUUACAAAUAAGUAGAAAAACAAAUUAAGCAUUAGCUGGGUCAGCUUUCUUGUUUGUUGUCCUCACCCAUUAAAUUGUAAGCUUAUUUUUUUAAAUAGUAUUUUUUGUAAUUAUAUGUAAAGACAACUUUUAGCAUUCAUUUUUGAGUUUCAGUUAUUUCUCCUCCUUUCCUCACUUCCCUCUUCCCUAAGGCAGUAAACAGUUUAAUUUAGAUUAUAUAUAUAUGCAGUCAUUUAAAACUCAUCUCUCUAAUAGUCACGUUGUGAAAGAAGAAACAGACCAAAAGAAAAAAAAAGAUUGUAAGCUUUCUGAGAGAAUGAAUUUUCUUUUUUAUGAAGAUAUCUCUAGGACUUGGCACAGAGACACAUAAUGGCGUGUAAUAAAGGAUUAUUGAAUUUUCACCUUUUUAUCAAGAGGUGGGAGACAUAUUUCAUUGUCAGUGUUCUGAAGUCAUAAUUGGUCACUGCAUUGAUCAGAGUCCUGAAAUCUUUCAAAGUUGUUUUUUCUUCACAUUAUUGUUAUUAUUGUGUAAAAAAUUCAAUCUAACAAGCAUUUAUUAAGUGCUACCUAUGUGUGUGCCUGCAGUACUUUCUGUGAGGGGUUGUGGAUAGAAAGAGGAAGAAGAAAAAUAGCCCUCGAGGAGUUUAUAUUCUUUUAGGGAGAAAAUAUGUAAACAAAUGUAUGAUCUCAUUUGAUUCCCCUUUGUGAGAUAAGUACUGUUAUCCUCAUUUUACCUUUGAGGAAAUUGAGAUAAACAGAGAUUAAAUCAUACAACUAAUAAGUAUCUGAGGCCCUAAUUGAACCUGGGGCUUUUUGACAGUGGGCCUCGUGAUCUAUCCAUGGCUCUACCUGAUUGCCUCAAGAAUCCAAAAUAAUUUGAUAAAGUGGAGCUGUUAACAGUGACCAGGGAUCAGAGAAGGCUUCCACAGGAAGUGAUCCAUGAGUUUAGGUCUGAAGGAUUCUAAGAAACAGAAGUCAGGAGAAUAAAAAGAUAAUAACACUUGUUCUUUCUUAGUGUAAUUAUGAUCAAAGGGAAAGCACUAUAUAACCAGUCUAUAAAAAUGAAAUAUUGCUUGACCAAUAAAAAUUAUGGAUUGUUACAUCAUAGGAUCUUCUGCCAUCAAAAAACCCAGCAAUUAUCCUAUGCUCUUUCCCCCUCCAGUAUCCUAGCCAUUUAAACAAUACUCACCUAAAUUUGCAG
ensembl:lncRNA